rnacentral:rRNA from 1 species
AUACGGAGGGUGCAAGCGUUGCUCGGAAUCACUGGGCGUAAAGGGCGCGCAGGCGGUUUGGUAAGUCAGAUGUGAAAGCCCAUGGCUCAACCAUGGAAGUGCAUUUGAAACUGUCAGACUUGAGUACUAGAGGGGAAAGUGGAAUUCCCGGUGUAGAGGUGAAAUUCGUAGAUAUCGGGAGGAAUACCGGUGGCGAAGGCGACUUUCUGGCUAGAUACUGACGCUGAGGCGCGAAAGCGUGGGGAGCAAACAGGAUUAGAUACCCCAGUAGUCC